CAGCGUUGGAGGAGACGGGGAGCAGUUGGCCGCGUCGUGCGUCGUGACGUUUGCGGGGCCGUGUCCUCGAAACCCCCUCGCCCAGUCCCCUUGCUCGCACGCGGCACCCCUCCCUCCCUCCUCGAUCUCUAUCCCUCCUCAGCCGCCACAGCAAGAAGCCACGAACCCUAGCCAUCUCCCUCUCCUUGCGUGUUCAUGCUCAUCGCCGCCAUUCCCCCGAUCUCCAUCGUUGCCCGACGCCUUCACCGGCUAGCUACCAUGGAUCCAUGGCCGAUGGGAGAGUACGCCGUCAUCGACCCAUCGCUUAGGUUGGUGGCACAUGGGUCGGGUCUGGGCAGAAGGCCGGCGCCUGCGGGGGAAAACGGCGGGGGUUGGUGCGGCGGAAAAUGAGGACGGGGUUGGCCGUAGAGGGAGGCUCGCCGGCCGGAACAGCCGGAGCAAGGAGGCAGUGUCGGCCAUGGAGGAAGGCCCACUGGCCGGAGCAGCAGGAGCAACUGCAGCCGCUGGUCAGCUCGACGCAUCGCCUCCUCCGCUGCAGCCCGCACGGUCGAGAGGGGCAGCUGCGCCGUAGCUGGCGGCGAGUUCAGUGGCCGCCUCCUCCUCUCCUCUUUGAAUCCACAGGUGCCUAUGCGUUCCCCUCGGUUGGAUUGUUCAUCCUUCUUCGCCGAUGGUGUGCUCGUCCGUUGCAAUAGCCUUCGUGUGCUGGAUGAACACUGCCGGUUGAGGUUGGUUUCUUCCUGUUAUGUCCUGCAUCGACAGUCGCAUCUUUCUGCCAUUGCCGUUGAGUCCUCUGUAUAGCCUGCUUUCUUGGCCUGGUUCUGCUUUCUAGCUCUGGUCUAUCUCCGUUUGUCUAGCAGGUUCAACGAUCUGCUAGGUUGCUGCAUCUGCAACUUUGUGCUGUUGUUCAAGGUUUGCUUUAUUCUUUCUUCCCUACAUGCUCGUUCUUUCUCUAAGUACCAUAAUACUGCUAUGCUGUCUCUAGCUACAUACAUUUACCUUUCUUUGUCGGUCUAAUUGUCUAUUGAUGGGCCAUGGUUAUGUGAACUUUAAUAUGUAAUAAUAUAUGGUAUUUAAAUUUGUAUUGUUCAUUAGCGCCUAUGAUUUUGCGCCAAAGAGUCGUCCUAUAUCCAAGUUUCUAUAUAUUUUUUACACCAUUGUAGUCCAUAGCUUGCUUCAAUCCUGCUACACAUUGGAUUGAAGAUAGGUCGUCCAUUUCUAUUUACUUUUUUUGUAGAUUGUGAAGUCAUGGCCCCAGUUUAUAUUCAUGUUUAGUUUGCUGUGUAGUUCAUGUAUGCUCUGUAAAGAGCAUGUACAGCUAAUGGGUUUAAUUCGUUUGUUCCUUUUUUUAGAUGUUCCGUAUCGGUGCAUAAUUCAAUUUGAUCCAUACAGUGCCAGUGAUUUUGUAAGAUUUGCCCACAUAUUUUGAGGAAAUAAUUAUGCUUCAGGAAAUAAGCUGGUCAGCUCUGGGGCAAAAGGUCAGCAAAUCUGCUUGGCUGUUCCUCCCAAGGUGAUGAGAGAUUGCUUGUUGCAGAGUACAUGCCUAGAAAGACAUAUAUCUUUCACUAGUGGGUGGAGGUGCAUCGCCUCAGGAUGUCAAGGUAUAGGGAUGGAAUCCUUAUUUCACAGUAUGUUUCUGUUCUUACGAUAAGUGACUCAUGUUUCUUCUGUGUAAUGCUAGGAUAAAGUUUGAUUUUCUCUGUACUACUCCAACUUGGUCCUAUCUCUAACUACAAAAAUUUUAUGUAUCGUUUUAAUUUAGAUUUUAUUAUUAUUAGAAUUAGAUGGUGUGCAUUGAAUAUGAAAAUAGGGCCAAGUAUUACUAUGGCGUAUAUCCUAUUGAGUUUUCAUGGGACCUUGAGGCUCAUUGUUGAUCUCUUUGUAGCUUAUAAAAGAUAGUUAUAUCAUUUUACUGGAUGUAUAAUCAGAAAGGUGGGCCAACAAACUGUAACAUGUGACAUAAAAUAUGAUAAUGCGGGCUUCCUUUAUUUUUUUCCAUGGGCAGAGUGGGUGGAGGUACACAACCUCAAGAUGUCAAGGAAUCUGAUCCUUAUUUUACAGUGAACUUAGAAGGGUUUUCCAUCUUAUAAUAUGAUAAUGCAUGCUUCCUUACCUUGACCAGAAUUUAGCAUUUUGGCAUUGCCUCCUUACCAUGCAAUGUAGGCUUCAGCACCAUUUUUUAAAUGUAAGUCAUCAUUUGUGCCGGUCCUUAUCAAGCAGUUCCUUAUCAAAGGGGAUUUUGAUGUUCUCGCUGAAACAGAGGACUUGAAUUGAUGAUUUCUAGGAUUAGUAAACAUUAGCAUAAUCCUGAUUAUCUAGUUGAGAAAUCUUAUAUUUUAAUUGUGAUAAGUAAUGUAGGCUGCAAGAGUUGUCUUUUAAGUAAUGAAAAUUCUUCUGCCAGUAGCUAAUGCUGUUUAGAAAUUUUGAUUUUCUUUUGUAGCUCUCUUCAUUUUUGUCACUGGUUUACAUUUGUUUUAUAUCUUUCUCAUUCUGUUCGUAGCAUUUUGUCAUGUUUCUUCCUUUUUAUAGAGCUAUUUUUAUGUUGUGUUAAGAAUUUUGCCUAAUUGAUGGCUCAAAUGAUUGCAAACAUAUAAUCUUGUCGGCUUGAGUGAUUGCGGGCAUAUCGACUACAGGAAAACGUAGCCACAGAAGAUUCUUGCUUCCCUUUUUUGUUUUUGUGAAAUUGCAGUCAAGCUACUUACAUAUGACUCUUAUUAGGGCAUUCGAGAAUUCUCAAAUUGGGUCUGCUUCUGUUUUAGCCUGAUUUAUGUUUCUACUGUAGGUGUUGCUCUAUGGCAAUACAUACUUUUUGCACUAUUGAAGAGAUAAGAAUAGAGUGCUACCUAUUUAUGCUUUUAGUAUGGCUUGAUAUACCGAGGCCCUGUUGUGGAACUGAUAUUGUUUUUUUAUGUUGGAACAAAUGAUGGUUUGAUCUGUGUGUAGUUGCAUUGUUUAUUUCUCAACAGGUGGAGAUCGAAUUUAAUAAUUAUAUUGACAUGCCCCGGUGCUUUUUGUUA